AUUGAACGCUGGCGGCAGGCCUAACACAUGCAAGUCGAGCGGAUGAAGAGAGCUUGCUCUCUGAUUUAGCGGCGGACGGGUGAGUAAUGCCUAGGAAUCUGCCUGGUAGUGGGGGAUAACGUUCCGAAAGGAACGCUAAUACCGCAUACGUCCUACGGGAGAAAGCAGGGGACCUUCGGGCCUUGCGCUAUCAGAUGAGCCUAGGUCGGAUUAGCUAGUUGGUGAGGUAAUGGCUCACCAAGGCGACGAUCCGUAACUGGUCUGAGAGGAUGAUCAGUCACACUGGAACUGAGACACGGUCCAGUCUCCUACGGGAGGCAGCAGUGGGGAAUAUUGGACAAUGGGCGAAAGCCUGAUCCAGCCAUGCCGCGUGUGUGAAGAAGGUCUUCGGAUUGUAAAGCACUUUAAGUUGGGAGGAAGGGCAUUAACCUAAUACGUUAGUGUUUUGACGUUACCAACAGAAUAAGCACCGGCUAACUUCGUGCCAGCAGCCGCAGUAACAC
rnacentral:rRNA from 1 species